rnacentral:ncRNA from 1 species
UAGAUAGAGGCGCGGGAUUCAUCAGUACCCUCCGGCAAGGCCAGGCAGCCGCCGGCGGAGAAAGGGGACACCGCCGAAGUACCGGGGCGCUGCCUGGCUGCCCGGCGCUGGGUCGGCAGAGAACAUCUGCCGGACUGUCACAGAGUUUUUUGUGAAGCGCUAUCA